rnacentral:rRNA from 1 species
AAAAUUAGUACUUGGGAAACUGGCCUUGAUGGAGGGGGAUAACUACUGGAAACGGUAGCUAAUACCGCAUAACGUCGCAGACCAAAGAGGGGGACCUUCGGGCCUCUUGCCAUCAGAUGUGCCCAGAUGGGAUUAGCUAGUAGGUGGGGUAACGGCUCACCUAGGCGACGAUCCCUAGCUGGUCUGAGAGGAUGACCAGCCACACUGGAACUGAGACACGGUCCAGACUCCUACGGGAGGCAGCAGUGGGGAAUAUUGCACAAUGGGCGCAAGCCUGAUGCAGCCAUGCCGCGUGUAUGAAGAAGGCCUUCGGGUUGUAAAGUACUUUCAGCGGGGAGGAAGGCGUUGAGGUUAAUAACCUCAGCGAUUGACGUUACCCGCAGAAGAAGCACCGGCUAACUCCGUGCCAGCAGCCGCGGUAAUACGGAGGGUGCAAGCGUUAAUCGGAAUUACUGGGCGUAAAGCGCACGCAGGCGGUCUGUCAAGUCGGAUGUGAAAUCCCCGGGCUCAACCUGGGAACUGCAUUCGAAACUGGCAGGCUAGAGUCUUGUAGAGGGGGGUAGAAUUCCAGGUGUAGCGGUGAAAUGCGUAGAGAUCUGGAGGAAUACCGGUGGCGAAGGCGGCCCCCUGGACAAAGACUGACGCUCAGGUGCGAAAGCGUGGGGAGCAAAACAGGAUUAGAUACCCUGGUAGUCCACGCCGUAAACGAUGUCGACUUGGAGGUUGUGCCCUUGAGGCGUGGCUUCCGGAGCUAACGCGUUAAGUCGACCGCCUGGGGAGUACGGCCGCAAGGUUAAAACUCAAUGAAUUGACGGGGGCCCGCACAAGCGGUGGAGCAUGUGGUUUAAUUCGAUGCAACGCGAGAACCUUACCUACUCUUGACAUCCAGAGAACUUUGCAGAGAUGCUUUGGUGCCUUCGGAACUCUGAGACAGGUGCUGCAUGGCUGUCGUCAGCUCGUGUGGUGAAUGUUGGGUAAGUCCGCAACGAGCGCAACCCUU